GUGGCCGUAGCUCAGUUGGCAGAGCAUCGGAUUGUGGCUCCGAAGGUCGCGGGUUCGAGACCCGUCGGUCACC
rnacentral:tRNA from 1 species